rnacentral:rRNA from 1 species
UGGGGAAUAUUGCACAAUGGGCGCAAGCCUGAUGCAGCCAUGCCGCGUGUAUGAAGAAGGCCUUCGGGUUGUAAAGUACUUUCAGUCGGGAGGAAGGUGUCAAGGUUAAUAACCUUGGCAAUUGACGUUACCGACAGAAGAAGCACCGGCUAACUCCGUGCCAGCAGCCGCGGUAAUACGGAGGGUGCAAGCGUUAAUCGGAAUUACUGGGCGUAAAGCGCACGCAGGCGGUUGAUUGAGUCAGAUGUGAAAUCCCCGGGCUUAACCCGGGAAUUGCAUCUGAUACUGGUCAGCUAGAGUCUUGUAGAGGGGGGUAGAAUUCUAUGUGUAGCGGUGAAAUGCGUAGAGAUGUGGAGGAAUACCGGUGGCGAAGGCGGCCCCCUGGACAAAGACUGACGCUCAGGUGCGAAAGCGUGGGGAGCAAACAGG